rnacentral:rRNA from 1 species
GGUAGCCGACCUGAGAGGGUGACAGGCCACAUCUGGGACUGAGAUACGGCCCAGACUCCUACGGGAGGCAGCAGCUGAGAAUCUUCCACAAUGGACGAAAGUCUGAUGGAGCGACAUCGCGUGAGGGAUGAAGGCCUUCGGGUUGUAAACCUCGGAAAUUAUCGAAGAAUGAGUGACAGUAGAUAAUGUAAGCCUCGGCUAA